rnacentral:rRNA from 1 species
AGACACGAAUCCAGGCCCUACGGGGUGCAGCAGGCGCGAAAACUUUACAAUGCUGGCAACAGCGAUAAGGGAACCUCGAGUGCCAGGUUACAAAUCUGGCUGUCGAGAUGCCUAAAAAGCAUUUCAUAGCAAGGGCCGGGCAAGACCGGUGCCAGCCGCCGCGGUAACACCGGCGGCUCGAGUGGUAACCGUUAUUAUUGGGUCUAAAGGGUCUGUAGCCGGCCGGAUAAGUCUCUUGAGAAAUCUGGCAGCUUAACUGUCAGGCUUUCAGGAGAUACUGUCUGGCUCGAGGCCGGGAGAGGUGAGAGGUACUUCAGGGGUAGGGGUGAAAUCUUGUAAUCCUUGAAGGACCACCAGUGGCGAAGGCGUCUCACCAGAACGGACCUGACGGCAAGGGACGAAAGCUAGGGGCACGAACCGGAUUAGAUACCCGGGUAGUCCACGCCGUAAACGAUGCUCGCUAGGUGUCGGCCACGGUGCGACCGUUGUCGGUGCCGUAGGGAAGCCGUGAAGCGAGCCACCUGGGAAGUACGGCCGCAAGGCUGAAACUUAAAGGAAUUGGCGGGGGAGCACCACAACGGGUGGAGCUUGCGGUUUAAUUGGAUUCAACGCCGGAAAUCUUACCGGGACCGACAGCAAUAUGAAGGCCAGGCUGAAGACUUUGCCGGAUUAGCUGAGAGGUGGUGCAUGGCCGUCGUCAGUUCGUACUGUGAAGCAUCCUGUUAAGUCAGGCAACGAGCGAGACCCACGCCCACAGUUGCCAGCGUACUCUCCGGAGUGACGGGUACACUGUGGGGACCGCCGCUGCUAAAGCGGAGGAAGGAAUGGGCAACGGUAGGUCAGUAUGCCCCGAAUAUCCCGGGCCACACGCGAGCUACAAUGGUUGGUACAAUGGGUAUCUACCCCGAAAGGGGACGGAAAUCUCCUAAAACCAAUCUUAGUUCGGAUUGAGGGCUGCAACUCGCCCUCAUGAAGCUGGAAUCCGUAGUAAUCGCGUUUCAACAGAACGCGGUGAAUACGUCC